rnacentral:rRNA from 1 species
UUCGGUUAAAUCUGUACGCUCAACGUACAGGCUGCCGGGAAUACUGCAGAGCUAGGGAGUGGGAGAGGUAGACGGUACUCGGUAGGAAGGGGUAAAAUCCUUUGAUCUAUUGAUGACCACCUGUGGUGAAGGCGGUCUACCAGAACACGUCCGACGGUGAGGGAUGAAAGCUGGGGGAGCAAACCGGAUUAGAUACCCGGGUAGUCCCAGCUGUAAACUAUGCAAACUCAGUGAUGCAUUGGCUUGUGGCCAAUGCAGUGCUGCAGGGAAGCCGUUAAGUUUGCCGCCUGGGAAGUACGUACGCAAGUAUGAAACUUAAAGGAAUUGGCGGGGUAGCACACAAGGGGUGAAGCCUGCGGUUCAAUUGGAGUCAACGCCAGAAAUCUUACCCGGAGAGACAGCAGAAUGAAGGUCAAGUUGAAGACUUUACCAGACAAGCUGAGAGGUGGUGCAUGGCCGUCGCCAGCUCGUGCCGUGAGAUGUCCUGUUAAGUCAGGUAACGAGCGAGAUCCCUGCCUCUAGUUGCCACCAUUAUUCUCAGGAAUAGUGGGGCGAAUUAGCGGGACCGCCGCAGUUAAUGCGGAGGAAGGAAGGGGCCACGGCAGGUCAGUAUGCCCCGAAACUCUGGGGCCACACGCGGGCUGCAAUGGUAACGACAAUGGGUUUCGAAUCCGAAAGGAUGAGGUAAUCCUCAAACGUUACCACAGUUAUGACUGAGGGCUGCAACUCGCCCUCACGAAUAUGGAAUCCCUAGUAACUGCGUGUCAUUAUCGCGCGGUGAAUACGUCCCUGCUCCUUG